rnacentral:rRNA from 1 species
CCUACGGGGGGCAGCAGUGGGGGAUAUUGCACAAUGGGGGGAACCCUGAUGCAGCGACGCCGCGUGGGUGAAGGAGUGCUUCGGCAUGUAAAGCCCUAUCGGCAGGGAAGAAGCAAGACGGUACCUGACUAAGAAGCCCCGGCUAACUACGUGCCAGCAGCCGCGGUAAUACGUAGGGGGCGAGCGUUAUCCGGAUUCACUGGGUGUAAAGGGAGCGCAGGCGGCCUGCCAAGUCUGGUGUGAAAACCCGGGGCCCAACCCCGGGCCUGCAUUGGAAACUGGCGGGCUGGAGUGUCGGAGGGGCAGGCGGAAUUCCUAGUGUAGCGGUGAAAUGCGUAGAUAUUAGGAGGAACACCGGUGGCGAAGGCGGCCUGCUGGACGAUGACUGACGCUGAGGCUCGAAAGCGUGGGGAGCAAACAGGAUUAGAUACCCGGGUAGUC